rnacentral:rRNA from 1 species
UACGGGGGGGGCAAGCGUUGUUCGGAAUUACUGGGCGUAAAGGGCUCGUAGGCGGUCAACUGGGUUGGAAGUGAAAUCCCCAGGCUCAACCUGGGAACUGCGUCCGAUACUGGAUGGCUUGAAUCCGGGAGAGGGAUGCGGAAUUCCAGGUGUAGCGGUGAAAUGCGUAGAUAUCUGGAGGAACACCGGUGGCGAAGGCGGCAUCCUGGACCGGCAUUGACGCUGAGGCGCGAAAGCCAGGGGAGCAAACGGG